GGCUGGUCCGAGUGCAGUGGUGUUUACAACUAAUUGAUCACAACCAGUUAUAGAUUCCUUUGUUCCUUCUCUGCUCCCACUGCUUCACUUGACUAGCUUUAA
rnacentral:Y_RNA from 1 species